rnacentral:rRNA from 1 species
CCUACGGGGGGCAGCAGUGAGGAAUAUUGGUCAAUGGACGAGAGUCUGAACCAGCCAAGUAGCGUGAAGGAUGACUGCCCUAUGGGUUGUAAACUUCUUUUAUAUGGGAAUAAAACGUUCCACGUGUGGGAUUUUGUAUGUACCAUAUGAAUAAGGAUCGGCUAACUCCGUGCCAGCAGCCGCGGUAAUACGGAGGAUCCGAGCGUUAUCCGGAUUUAUUGGGUUUAAAGGGAGCGUAGGUGGAUUGUUAAGUCAGUUGUGAAAGUUUGUGGCUCAACCGUAAAAUUGCAGUUGAAACUGGCAGUCUUGAGUACAGUAGAGGUGGGCGGAAUUCGUGGUGUAGCGGUGAAAUGCUUAGAUAUCACGAAGAACUCUGAUUGCGAAGGCAGUUCACUGGACUGCAACUGACACUGAGGCUCGAAAGUGUGGGUAUCAAACAGGAUUAGAUACCCGGGUAGUC